GUCUCCGAGCCCGAACGGAUCGGGACCGGUCUCCUAAACCGUGAUGUGCGGGUUCGAAUCCCGCCGGAGACG
rnacentral:tRNA from 1 species